UACUCUCACACUUCCGAUCUUGCAUUGGGAGCGGUGGACUUGGGUUUGCUGCUUUACCGUAGCUUACCUCAAAUGGGUUAGUGCAGCUCUUGGUUGGACAUAGUACGGCGUGAUAAGUAUCUUCGCUGGUGCCUCGCAAGAGGGUGGCCGAUCGGGAUGUUGUGCUCCAAACCGUCUUCGGACAAUCUCUGACA
rnacentral:misc_RNA from 1 species